UUCCCUAGUACGGCGAGUGAGCGGGAAGAGCUCAAAUUUGAAAUCUGGUAGCCUUCGGUUGCCCGAGUUGUAAUCUAGAGAAGUGUUUUCCGCGUUGGCCCAUGUACAAGUCCCUUGGAACAGGGCGUCAUAGAGGGUGAGAAUCCCGUCCUUGACAUGGACCCCCAAUGCUUUGUGAUACACUUUCAACGAGUCGAGUUGUUUGGGAAUGCAGCUCAAAAUGGGUGGUGAAUUCCAUCUAAAGCUAAAUAUUGGCGAGAGACCGAUAGCGAACAAGUACCGUGAGGGAAAGAUGAAAAGCACUUUGGAAAGAGAGUUAAACAGUACGUGAAAUUGUUGAAAGGGAAACGAUUGAAGUCAGUCAUGCUCUUUGGAUUAAGCCGUUCUGCGGUGUAUUUCAUUGAGCGGGGUCAACAUCAGUUUUGAUCGCUGGAAAAGGGCAGGAGGAAGGUAGCACUCUCGGGUGAACUUAUAGCCUCUUGUCGUAUACAGUGAUUGGGACUGAGGAACGCAGCAUGCCUUUUGGCCGGGAUUCGUCCACGUACAUGCUUAGGAUGUUGACAUAAUGGCUUUAAACGACCCGUCUUGAAACCACGGGACCA
rnacentral:rRNA from 1 species